CCCUUAGAUGUUCUGGGAUGCACGCGCGUUACACUGAUUCGUUCAACGAGUUUAUGACCUUGCCUGAUGAGGUGGGGGAAUCUUUUCAAAUCGCAUCGUGAUGGGGAUAGAGUAUUGUAACUGUUAGUCUUCAACGAGGAAUUCCUAGUAAGUACGUGUCAUCAGCUCGUACUGAUUAUGUCCCUGCCCUUUGUACACACCGCCCGUCGCUCCUACCGAUUGAGUGCUCAGGUGAAUAGUAUGGACUGCAUCAGUGUUCGGUCUCCGAAUGUUGAAGCGAGAAAUUCUGUGAAUCUUAUUGCUUAGAGGAAGGAGAANUCGUANCA
rnacentral:rRNA from 1 species